AAGUGAGGAGCUGUGGAGGGUCAGACACUCGCAGUGAUUCGGCUCAUCUACUUUGAUUUGAUAAACAAGUUUUAGUCGUGGAUCUACAUCUUUUAUGCAUCUGGCUUGCUCGUCUUGGACUGGAUGAAGGUGGUCUUGACUGCAGCACUGGUUAAACUAUAUAUCUUAUAUAGCGGAUUACUCCCACUGGGCCCGGCGCUGACUGACUGCAGCGGUUUCUAGUGAGAGUGUUUUCUGUGACAUGCUGACCUCUGAACUGGAAGCCCUUCCUGUCUGCUCUCCAGGGCUGCAGGCCGGCGUGUUGACACUCAGCGGCAGGAAGUGAGGUAACACAGCGGCCGACAUGAUGGCUCUUGCAUGAAAACAGUGAAUUAUGGGAACGCUUCCUCCCCUGUCGGAACCUGGAGCUCCCUCUUUCUCCUUCUCUUUAUAUUUUUCUCCUCCUUCCUGCCUUCAUCUGUUCGUCUCUCGGGCUUUAAUUCUUUUUAUUUGACACAUUUGUUUAUUUGAUGAUUUGAUUGUUUGAGCUCGGCCGUAAUUUCAGCUUUAUUCAUUUUAUUUUGGUGGCAAAACAUCCGUGAGUUUAAGUUGGUCAAAUAUUAUUAUUUGUCAGGAUCUUUUUAUAUAACCAUCGCUGCGACCUUUCAUCGAGCACCUGUGACCUGCCCACCUUUUUAUUUCAUCUGUUUCAGUUUUUCACAUCCUGUCACUCGUUCUCUAUUUGGCUCAUCUCUUUCUCUCUCUGAUAACAUCCUCAGUUUCCUGUGAUCCUAAUAAUACCAAAUGAUAAUCAUGCUGACAGUAACACAUCCUGUAUUCCUCUGUCACAUCCCCUCCACUCUUUUCAUCCGCCCUCCUGCAGCCUCCUAUCUUUGACUCACUUUAAUGUUUUUAAGAGGGAGUUCAAUAUAUUCUUUGGAGGGCGAAAUUAAACUUUAACAUUUUAAAAGCUAAGUCUGGUGAUAUUGUGGGUUCUCCAUGUUGUCAACAAAUCUCAUGUUCAGACAGCAGUGACAGAACCUGUAUUCUUUCUAAUGGCCAGCAGGGGGCAGCUCCACCGGCUGCAAUAAAGAAGUCUGAUAGUAUUGAGUGUUAUGGGGAAAUGAGCCAACUUCUGACUUAAUUUAUUAUCUUAUUAAACAGUUUCCUGAUGAGUUUAUGGUCUCAGUCACUCGUCAGUCUUUCCAGGAAACUGCGAUUGCAACGAUUAACGCUAACUCACCCCAACUUGUCUGCAAAUUUGACACACAGCAACAAACUCACUUCCAUACAGUCCAAUUGAAUUUACACUGGAAAUUGCCUUCAAGAUAAAGCUUGUACAAUUUUCACCACAGUAGAGGAUCAAUUCACCAGUUUUGUUUUCUGGUCUGUAAAGAGCACUUAAGUAUUAUGGGGCUGCUGGUGUGACUCUACACUUUUAGAGAAACUUUUUUUAGUUUCUGGGCCGUGUGAAGCUACAAAAAUGCAAAGUCAACUUUUCCACUUUUGUUCGAGCCAAAGGAAAUUAACAGCAUGUAGGAUUACAAAGCUGAAGUGUGACAGAACACACCUGUACUCAGAGGAAGGAACAGCACAAACACGGCGCUGUGCGCUCCAAUAGCUGCUAACCUCACCACUUUACAUGCACCGUCUGUAACCAUCUGUUGUAAAGAGGAAGCAGGGGAGCAUGUCUCCAGAGAGAUGGAUCCAAAGAAAAUAACUCAUCAUCCCCCUAACACAGAAAUGGAUCCGGGAAGGAAGUGAUUUAGCACCGUCCCUUGACGGGCGUCUAAUGGGCCAGGAAGGAAAAUCCAUCUCCAUGCAUUCAUUAAACAUCUCAUUGGUGUGUUUUUGCUCUGACUGUGUUGGAGAGCGAGACAGCGUAUCCUUUGGGGAAAUAAUAUGAACACAGAGAGCCACCGAGAGUGAGCAGAGGCUCCUGAAUCUGCGAAUGUAAAUGAGAUGUGAAGGUUCUCCUGGUACAAAUAUAUCAAACACUCAGAAGGACACAUUAACAGAUAUUAAAUGACUUUGUGUCAGGAGGUGCUUGGUUUCUCCAGCUGACUGCGUCUCUCAACAGGUCACUGGGUUUUGGGGCUCCAACCUCUCUCUCAGGCCCCGCAGUGGUGACCCCUCGAUCUGGAUCAAAGGACUCACCGGGGGCCCUGCUGGCCCUCACUGACCCCAGAGAGGAUCAUCUGCAAAAACCAAAGUGUGCUCAGGGUUUGAAAAUAAGGCCAGAUGUUCCCAGCUGGAGAUUAAAAUCACAUUAAAAUCUGA